GGGGUUGUGGUUCAGUGGUGGAGUACUUGCCUGGCACGUAUGAGGCACUGGGUUCAAUUCUCAGCACCA
rnacentral:tRNA from 1 species